GAGCACAUGUUGAAAGGCAACUCUUGCUUCUAAUGUUAUUAGACCACUGAUUAUUCUAAUGAUGUCAUGGUGAUGCUUCCCUCUGGGUGGCCCAUCUCUGCUGGAUGUGCUGCUCUAAAGGCUUUAUGACCUCUGCUUAUCUACAGUCUCAGCUGAACUUUGCCCCAUGCUCUUAUUGUUGGUGGGUAUGGCAGCCUCUGCUUGGCAUCACUCUAUGCUAUUAGAUUCUGGGCUCAUCUUUUUAGAGCCAAUCUUUGGCCAUCUCAGCUUGGCUCUCAGGCGUAUAAUGGCUAGAAUCUCUCCUGAAAAGUGCAAACUAAUCUUCAUCAUUGACAUCGUACCCAGCUGAAAGACACUUAUGCCUAGAUCUCUUAUCAAUUUUGCCUUCUUAGUACAACUGGAGAGACAGUGGACCUGUGAACAGUUGAGACUGGGAGGAAGCAUGUGUUUCUGGCUACACUGGAGGUCAUGAUAAUCCACGUGUUUAAACAGAAGCAAUACUGCUAUCACCAUCUGAGGACAGAAAAAGACUCCUUAAAGUGUGGAUUGAAGGCUAUGAAAAUAUUUCAAGAAAGAAACUGCUUCUAUAGUAAAGGGACUAAAAAGGAAGACAAAAGCCUGGAAGGCUUUGAGGCAAGCCUGAUACAGCAUCAAUAAUCUGAAUUAACUUCUCUCUGGUAAUCACAUAAGAUCCUUCUGCAUACAAAAGGGAAUUUAUUUGCACAGGCAAGAAAAAUGCAAAAGAAAAUGUGGAUGAUUUAAUUAAAAUUGUCUGCCUGAAAUUCCAACUACCUCCAUAGAACCAUACUCAAUCACUCCAGCCAACAUUCGAUGUUCUCUUCGUCUGCAUCUCUUACGUCAGAGACCACUUACUAUCUAGAACCAGACAUAUUGAUGUUCCGUUAUGUUUAAUGGCACUUUAUUGUAAACUCUUUUACAUGAAUGAUAAAUCAAGUCAAUAGGUAUUUAUUGAGUGCCUACUACGUACACUUAGCAGGUAGACUGGGAGUACAAAGAAACAGAAAACCUGUCUCUGCCCUCCAGAAUAUCACAAUCUGAACGGGAAGAGUGUGUAAAUAUUUACAAACAAGUGGUAUAUAAAAGAAAUUGGAAGCAAUCUCUCAGGGAAGACAUUAACAUGAAAGGGAAAGAGGGAAGGCACUGGCAUUAGGGGGGAUCCCAAUAGCUACUUGUAGAAGGUGGGAUUUUGGCUGAGGCUUGAAGGAGGCUGGGGAAUGAUGAAGUAGAUAUGAGAAAGUGAAUGAGGAAUAGUGGUUAAAACAAAAUAUGCUGCAAGUUAGGGUAAGAAGGCCAGUUUUGCUGGAUCAGAGAGUAUGGAAAGUGAGGGUAUUCAGUUGGUUUUCCAUCAUGUGUGACUGUUCGUGACCCCAUUUGGGGUUUUCUUGGCAGAGAUUUCCUUCUUCAGCUCAUUUUACAAAGGAGGGUUAGGUUACUUGCCCAGGGUCAUACAGCUAAUAAAUAUCUGAGGCCAGAUUUAAACUCAGGAAGCUGAGUCUUCCUAAUUCUAGGCUUGGAGCUUUAUCCACUGUGCCAAUCUACCUGCCAACCUAGAAAUUAAGAUGUAAGAAGACUAGAAAGAUUGGAGGGGGCUAAAUUAUCAAGAGUUUUUAAAGUCCUUUAAUUUUUUAUUUCAUGUCAAAAUAAUUUUUGCCUUCCUAAGAAUACUCUAAGUUCCUGAACGGUACGGAAGCUAUCUCCCAACUCUUUCUUAUUAUCAUUAUUAGCUUAAGUGUAGUACCUGUCCUAUAGUAUAUACUCACUCAAUUCUUUCUUCCUGAAUAAAUGUUUUAACCUGGGAAAGAACAUUGCUCAGGUUUAGGAAUAAAGCAAGUUUUUGUUAUUUUAAUGGAAAGAGAGAAAUAUGAAAAGGAAAAAAAAAAGGGGGGGGAGGUGAGGGGAGGAUUUUCUGGAGCAAAUACAGGUCUCUAUUAGGGAAGAAUGUGAGGUAUGUGGUAGGAGCAAAUGUCCUGUUACCUCCCCCUACCACUAGGUUGGGACUUUUUUCCCUUGAAAGGUGAAAGUUUGAUAACUGCCCCAGGGGACUAAGGCUCAAAUAGCUUUUUCUUUGACCUUGUAGCUUCUGGCCAUUUGGAUGUGACUUCCAGUUCCCCUGAGGGACCAAAAAAAGCCCACCCACCCACACACCAGGAGCUGGCAGGCCUUUAGAUUAGGAGGAUAUCCAGGGGGUACCCUACCAUAGGUUUCUAUAUGAAGCCACUGGAGACUAAGUCUAACUAAGCUAACUAUUGUAACAUAUCCUUAUUGAAUAUUCUUUUAUGCUUUGGAUAAGUAAAUCUGUUGUUAACUGCAGAAUGAUUAAGAGUGCUUCAUUUCAAUCCACUGUUGAACCUGAAUUUACAGGGGAUUGCUCUGAAUCAGACCCACAUCUGAAGCCCCGAAAACUUUGGAUCAUGAGUGUUGAAAGUAUUCCCUCUUUGUUCUAUGGUUUUAACAAAAUGGCAAAUGCUCAGUGUGGUAUAGGAAAAUGGUGAUUUGCUCUGAUGGUGGUAAAGGAAAGAGCAGACUCUAAGGGGAAUAAGAAAUCUAGUGGUCCUUUUGGCGGUGAUAGGGAUGGGGAUGGGAAAAGGUGACAUGUUCUUUUUCUGAUGAAUUUAAUUUUAGAUGUAGCAAAAUGUCUAGGUUGAGUUAGUCUGUAGACAAUGAUAAAUAUUGUUCUUUUGAGACUGAGUAGUUAUGACUAGAAAUGUAGACUUAGAAAUAUGUUAUUAAAAACAUAAAAGUUUGGGUGAGCUCAUUAAGAGAGUGAUCAUGGUGAAAGGGAGAGUAGAAGGGGAAAGUGGAACUAAUAGUAAAUCUAGUAUUUGAGUGAUCCAUCACAUGUAGAUAUAUACUAGAGAAAAACCAAAGGACUAUUCCUUUAUAGGUUUUUCUGCUAAUAGAAGGCUGACAAGUAAAACAAAAACAAAAACAAAACACCUUGAAAAAGAAACCGAAGAAUGAGGAGGACCAGAAUGACAUGAAGUCUUGAGGCUAAAAGGAUUAAGUAGAGCCACUGACCUGAAUACAAAAAAGGACACAUUUUCAAGCUUUCUGGAUUGGGCAAAUAUAAGAGGUCUAAGAAUUACCUUUUAUACCAUGGAAAAAUUAAGAUUAAAGUCAAUAAGGCUCAAAGAAUAGCUUUUAAGCUCUGAAUCUAAAACUCUGAAACCUUGGAUAAUGCAUGUUGAAAGUUCCUUCUUUGUUCUAUGGUUUCAACAAAAUGGCAAAUACUCAGUGUGAUAUUAUGCGAUGAAAAUCCUUUUAGUGAUCAGUGACACCUGAAAGAGUUUGUCAUACCAUGCCCAUCAUUGUUGUCUUAAAUCUUACUUCUUUCAUAAAAAUUAGAUCUAAAAUCUAUUCUAUUCUCCAAUUUUUUUCUUUCCCAAAUUUGGUUUCGUAAUAAAUGAAGUCAUUAGCAAAACUCAGUCUCGUUAUAUUUAAAAUUAAUCUCUCUACCAGUUACUAUUUUUCAUAAAGUUUAUGAAUAGAAAAGGUAGAUAAGCAUAGAUUUUAAAUCUCUUCCUUAUUCUAAGUCCUGACCACGUGUAAGCUGCAAUAAGACCCAGGUUGGUUCCACCCACUUUAUUUUACUGACGUUCACGGAUAUUCAUGGACAUUCAUGGACGUUCACGGACUCAACUCUGGCAUGUGAAGAAUGUUGAUGAGCUGGUCAGUAACCCAGGAAGGAGGAGGGGAUAAGAUCCCCUGGACACAGUCUCAAGACUGUAUAUAGAUAUUUGGCCACCUAUGAAAUUUUGUAUUUAAAGCUUUGUUCAUAGUUUUAAAUGAAGUCGAAACUUUUUCAACUCUACAUGGUGAGAUGGAAAGGGAGGAAUGGAAGGUAUUAAUUUCAAAGCAUUUGAGUUUUUUUUUUUAAUUACAUAAUUUAUUCUUAAAUCAAGGAAAUAUUAAUAUGCUGGUCUUGAGUUUAAUGCCAGGUAUGGUAGAGUCUGACCUAGGAUACAUCAUUUACCUUAUGGCGUAUCUGGUUUUCUCAUCUGUUUAUUAUUAUUAUUAUUAUUAUUAUUAUUAUUAUUAUUAUAAUUAUAGCGUUCC